rnacentral:rRNA from 1 species
CGUGGAGACAGGUGGUGCAUGGCUGUCGUCAGCUCGUGUCGUGAGAUGUUGGGUUAAGUCCCGCAACGAGCGCAACCCUCACCUCUUGUUGCCAUCAGGUCAUGCUGGGCACUCUAGAGGAACUGCCCCGGUCAACGGGGAGGAAGGCGGGGAUGACGUCAAGUCAUCAUGCCCCUUACGUCCUGGGCUACACACGUGCUACAAUGGCCGGUACAAAGGGAUGCCACACCGCGAGGUAGAGCUAAACCCAAAAAGCCGGUCUAAGUUCAGAUUGGAGUCUGCAACUCGACUCCAUGAAGGAGGAAUCGCUAGUAAUCGCGUAUCAGCACGACGCGGUGAAUACGUUCCCGGGCCUUGUACACACCGCCCGUCACACCACGAAAGCUGUCUGUACUCGAAGUCGCUGAG